UGCGAGAGCUUCUGGCAGCGUCUGGGCGAACACCUGGAUACGCGCUUGGAUCCGCGGAGCAUCGCUUCAAGGAGGUGCCGAGGGACGAAUCUUUGUGCCGGGAAGCAGCAGCCGAACGGGCAAUUGUGAGGCACUCAGCAGAGAUCUGCCCGGGAGGAAAAGCAGAGCCAAUCUCUGAGAAGAAGGGACGUGCGAGCUCUGGCGAGGACGGCUGCUCCCCCUGGCCUUGGUGUGGGACCUCCUGAGCUGCCAUUCCUGUGGUGGGAGUGUUUCUCCUCUCCUCCAGCCAAGCCAGAGACCGCCUAGGGAAGGAGCAGGGCAGGACAGCAUUCAGACUGAAAGUGUAAGAAGAUGUGGAGGGAGACAGAGAAUCUGACAGGAGCACCGGACUCACAAGUGCACGAAUUUUGCUUUUGGCUUGGAUUCAAACUCAGAAGUUGUAAGGAAUUUGGGAAGGAGAAGGGACAUUUCAGAAGGAGAAGAAGAAAAAGAAGUUGUUGUUGUUGUUACAGCCCUGGCAAAAUCUUUGGUUCUAGCUAAUAAAGGAAGUUAGUUGAAAUAAAAAAAAAGA